rnacentral:misc_RNA from 1 species
ACUUCACCUAAUCUUUUAUACAUAUGAUAUACAUUUCAAUAAAGUAAAUAAAGUUAUUUAAUUACAGUCGCUUACAAUUUUCAGUUUAAAGUUAACACGUUUAUUUUUAAUUUCAGUUGAUAUUUGAAUUAAUUUUCUAAAAAGAUUGGCAAUACCUAAUUGUUAGUAUAUUGUUAAUCAAUUGGUUUUAAGUCAUUCCCUAAGGUUGAUACUUGUUAAUAGUGUUAGCUAAAUUUAUUUGUAACUUUAGGGGGACAGAUAAGCUAAGCAUUGCUCAAUUUAUCUGCCAUUUAGGUAGCACUGGCCAUGUUGUAAUAUCCAGGGAAUGUCUGAACGGAUUCAGGUGUUGAGUGUUCGUUUUAAACAACACAUUACAGGUGUUGUAUCA